GCAAGCGUUGUCCGGAAUCAUUGGGUGUAAAGGGUGCGUAGGCUGGCGCCUAGGUCUGGGGUGAAAUCUUGCCGCUUAACGGUAAAAUUGCCCUGGAUACUGGGUGUCUUGAAUCUGACAGAGGUCGGUGGAAUUCGUGGUGUAGCGGUGAAAUGCAUAGAUAUCACGAAGAACACCAGUGGCGAAGGCGGCCGGCUGGGUCAGUAUUGACGCUGAGGCACGAGAGCGUGGGGAGCGAACAGGAUUAGAUACCCUGGUAGUCCACGCUGUAAACGAUGUAUGCUAGUUGUUGGGCCUUCGGGUUCAGUGACGCAGUUAACGCAGUAAGCAUACCACCUGGGGGGAGUACGUUCGCAAGAAUGAAACUCAAAGGAAUUGACGGGGGGCCCGCACAAGCGGUGGAGCAUGUGGCUUUAAUUCGAUGCAACGCGAAGAACCUUACCCGGGCUAAAUCCACGGUGACCGCUCCCGAAAACGGAGCUUCCCUUCGGGGGCACCAUGGAAGGUG
rnacentral:rRNA from 1 species